rnacentral:rRNA from 1 species
UACAGAGGUCUCAAGCGUUGUUCGGAUUCAUUGGGCGUAAAGGGUGCGUAGGCGGCGCGGUAAGUCGGGUGUGAAAUCUUGGAGCUUAACUCCGAAACUGCAUUCGAUACUGCCGUGCUUGAGGACUGGAGAGGAGACUGGAAUUCACGGUGUAGCAGUGAAAUGACGUAGAUAUCGUGAGGAAGACCAGUGGCGAAGGCGGGUCUCUGGACAGUUCCUGACGCUGAGGCGCGAAAGGCCAGGGGAGCAAAGCG